rnacentral:tRNA from 1 species
GCCCCUGUGGCGGAAUGGUAGACGCGUGCGACUCAAAAUCGCAUUCUCGCAAGGGAGUGGGGGUUCAAGUCCCUCCGGGGGCA